rnacentral:misc_RNA from 1 species
UGUGUGCACGCACGUGUGUGUUAAGUAGGAAUAAAAGAUAUAUAUAAAAAGGCCAAUAUUGAAUAUAUGAAGCUUUUUGAACUUAACAAGGCCUAAGAAAAGAGUUAGAAGAAUUAAGGGGUUUAGGCUGGGGUCUGUGUAGCCUAAAAAUGGUAAUUAAGUACUUCAGGAAUCUGCUGCUCACUUAAAGUUAGUAGAAUAGGAUUACUGUUUUCAUUGAAAAUAGUUAGGACACAGUGCCAUGAAUUAUUGUAAUUAAUAUUUGCAAGAACAAUCUUCGUCUUGUUUCAUGUGUAAGAUGCCAACAGGGAUUCAUGUUGGACAGCCUAAGCGUUGACCUUCAUAUCACUGCUCUUCCUUUUAUAUAGGCAUGAAAAAAACAUACAAUUACUCAAGACAAUCUUCUCUAUGUGUGUGUGUGAAGAUUAUGCAUUCAAGUUCUCUUGGACACAGUUCUCACAAAUGGGGAUUGAAAUGUGACUAAUGAUCCAACAUCACAUGAAGUUCACUAAUCUGCUGCUGCUGCUGUUGUCAUUUGCAGUCGCUGACACACUACUUUGGAAG